rnacentral:rRNA from 1 species
CCUACGGGAGGCAGCAGUGGGGGAUAUUGCACAAUGGGGGAAACCCUGAUCCAGCAACGUCGCGUGUGGGAAGAAGGUUCUCUGAUUUUAAACCUCUGUUCUUGGUGAAGUUAAUGACGGUAAGCAAGGAGAUAGCUCUGGCGAAAUACGUGCCAGCAGCCGCGGCAAUACGUAGGGAGCAAGCGUUGUCCGGAUUUACUGGGUGUAAAGGGUGCGUAGGCGGUCUUGCAAGUCAGACGUGAAAACCACAGGCUCAACCUGUGGACUGCGUUUGAAACUGUUGGGCUUGAGUGAAGUAGAGGUAGGCGGAAUUCGUCGUGUAGCGGUGAAAUGCUUAGAUAUGACGCAGAACCCCGAUUGCGAAGGCAGCUUGCUGCAGCGGAACUGACGCUGAUGCUCGAAAGCGCGGGUAUCGAACAGGAUUAGAUACCCUGGUAGUC